AUUAUCUCCUCAAAUGUAUUUUGUAAAGCUAAACAUUGCAAUUGAAUUCUCCUAUCCGAUUUAAAUCUCUUUUUCACAUCUAUUGUGCUGAAAGAAGCAAUGUUUAUUUCGACAUUCACAAAUGUUCUGUCAGCUCUAGCUUUGGACUUUAUUACAGGCUCCGAGGGUCCAUCGACUAUACACAAGACCUUUGUGUUACCCAAUUCAAUAAACGCCGACCCAUUCUCCGAAGGCUCGAUUCCAAUACGACACUGAAAGUUUCUCAUCUCAUCCCACCGUCGACCAUCUUGCAACAAAUAUUAGCACACAGAAAGAUUAAUACAUUUUAUAAGAAUCAUAGAUGUUUGAAUGUAAAUUUUAAGUUUCUUUUUCAUUUCCCAUAAAUGAAUUGGCUUACCAUUUCGAAGACCUUCAAGGGAUAAAAUCUCAAAGUGUGACUAUAUGGUUAGUACUCGUAUUAUCUAGAGAUAAAUUCUAUCUCUUACCAUAU